UCUCUCUAUAUAUAUAGCAAUAUACAUUUAUUAUAUAUAAAAUAUCAGUCACUCAAUUGCGAGGUGGAUUUCUGGGAAAUGUAGCAUGCAGGGAAUGCAGAAGUGAAAUGGCUAGGUGUCACCGAAACGACGUCGGAUCUCUGAUUCUCGACCGCCCCACCGGCGCACCAGCUGCCUCCGGCGGACACUUCCGGUUAUGGUCUGCAUUUUCCGCUGCCUCAUUCCGAAGAAAAAUCUUUGACGCUGUCAGUUGCGGUGGUAGCUCUCGCUACCGCCACCACAACGAUGACCAUGCCGCUGCUCCGAUUACGGAGAGUGAAGGAUCAGUGGCCGAGAGCUCGAAAGAGAAGGUAGUGGAGAAGGCUAAGAGGAAGAGCAAGGGUACGAAUGGGAAAUCGGAGAAGCUGUUGGAUCUUCUGAACUUGGCGGAGUGGUCGGAGAGUGAAGCUGACGCGGCUACGACGAAGAGGAAAGUUGAGGUCUUGGAGAAGCUGAAACGCGUGGUUGGGGAUUUGCAGGUUGAGAGGAAAUUAGAGGCGGCGUGUGAAGUGAGGUUGCUUGCAAAGGAAGAUUUGGAAGCGAGAGGGACUCUUGCUAUGCUCGGAGCGAUCCCUCCACUCGUCGGAAUGCUCGAUUUCGAAGACGACGAUACUCAGAUCGCUGCGCUCUACGCUUUGCUCAAUCUUGGAAUUGGAAACGAUAUGAACAAAGGGGCUAUUGUUAAAGCAGGGGCAGUUCACAAAAUGUUGAAGCUUAUAGAAUCUCCGAAUUCUCUAAACCCAUCAGUUUCAGAAGCUAUAGUGGCAAAUUUUCUAGGCUUAAGCGCACUAGACUCUAACAAACCCAUCAUUGGAUCUUCCGGUGCUAUUCCUUUCUUAAUAGAAUCUCUCAAGGAUUUGGAGAAUACCAGUAGCCCACAAGCCAAGCAAGACGCUUUGAGAGCCCUGUACAAUCUUUCAAUCUUCCCAUCAAAUGUUUCAUUUAUUCUGGAAACUGAUUUGAUCCCAUUUAUGUUGAGCGCAUUGGGAGACAUGGAAGUGAGUGAGAGAAUUCUUUCAAUUCUGGGCAAUGUGGUUUCAACCCCGGAAGGCCGGAAAGCAAUUGGCGCUGUUCGGGAUGCGUUCCCCAUUUUGGUUGAUGUGUUGAAUUGGAAUGACUCCCCGGCAUGUCAAGAGAAGGCAUCCUACAUUUUGAUGGUUUUGGCCCAUAAAACUUAUGGGGACAGGCAGGCCAUGAUCGAAGCCGGAAUCGUUUCGGCUUUGCUUGAAUUGACACUUUUGGGUAGUACAUUGGCCCAAAAGAGGGCUUCUCGGAUAUUGGCAUGUCUGAGAGUGGACAAAGGGAAGCAGGUUUCAGAAAGAUUUUGUGGGAAUUUGGGUGGUGCAACCGUGUCUGCACCAAUUUGUGGCUCUUCAUCCUCUUCGGCAAAUCCGAAUAUGGGUUCUUCAGAGUGUUUGGAAGAGGAGGAUAUGAUGAGCGAGGAGAAGAAAGCUGUGAAGCAGUUAGUUCAACAGAGCUUGCAAAAUAACAUGAGGAAGAUAGUGAAGAGGGCCAAUUUGCCACAAGAUCUCGUUCCUAUUCACUUCAAGUCACUCACAGCAAGUUCAACUUCUAAGAGCUUGCCAUUCUGAGGAGUUGAACCUGCUAAUGUGGGGGAAGGUUUGAAGAUUGAUGAGAAGAUUAUCUGAAAUCUCAAUAAGUAAGGUCAAGUAUGGUUUGGAGUGCUUAGCUGUUCGUCAAUGAUGAAAUAUUAUAGAUAUUGACAUCUCGUCCCCACGAGGUAUAUGCAUAAAUAAUAUAACAUAAUUUUCAUUUGUGGGGCAGCUUCAUUAAGUUAUAUUCUAAAUUAUAAUCUCCCUCGGUUGGUUUUCGUCACGUCCCUCGUGUAUAUCUACGUGGUUAUAAUGUAAUAAUAAGCUGUGCAGAGUUUUGUUGACU